UUUAUAUGACGCCGUUGACUUUUAGGUCACGUUUGACCAUUCGUCUUAUUUAAAAAAAUUAUAUAAUUAUUAAUUAUUUUGUUAUAAUAUGAUUUAUUAUUAUAAAAACUUUAAUUAUGUAUUAUAAUUUUGCAUAUUUGAAUAUAAAUUUUGAAUAAGACGAAUGGUCAAACGUGAUUCUAAAAGUCAACGGUGUCAUACAUA
rfam:Oryza brachyantha chromosome 2, whole genome shotgun sequence.